AUUUUGAUGUCAACAAGCUGAAACCAAAACUAGAAGAAUAAUGCCUUUCAUAUAUAUUUUCUAGGACAACAUGAAGAUUUUAUUUAUGGAGUGAAAAUAGGAUGCAUCAUGCAUGAAAUGUAAAAAGAGAAGGAAUAAACAUGAAAAAGGGGGAAAAUUCUUUAUAAUGUGAAAAAAAAAAAUAGUUAGCUGCAAAUAUACAAUUUCUCAUUCAUCU